GACGAACGCUGGCGGCGUGCUUAACACAUGCAAGUCGAACGGAAAGGCCCUGCUUUUGUGGGGUGCUCGAGUGGCGAACGGGUGAGUAACACGUGUGUAACCUGCCCUUGACUUUGGGAUAACUUCAGGAAACUGGGGCUAAUACCGGAUAGGAGCUCCUGCUGCAUGGUGGGGGUUGGAAAGUUUCGGCGGUUGGGGAUGGACUCGCGGCUUAUCAGCUUGUUGGUGGGGUAGUGGCUUACCAAGGCUUUGACGGGUAGCCGGCCUGGGAGGGUGAACGGCCACAAUGGGACUGAGAUACGGCCCAGACGCCUACGGGAGGCAGCAGUGGGGAAUAUUGCACAAUGGGCGGAAGCCUGAUGCAGCAACGCCGCGAGCGUGAUGACGGCCUUCGGGGUGUAAACCGCUUUCGCCGGUGACGAAGCGUGAGUGACGGUAAUGGGUAAAGAAGCACCGGCUAACUACGUG
rnacentral:rRNA from 1 species